rnacentral:misc_RNA from 1 species
GUGUAUCUGAGCUGGAAGCAGAACACAUCUUCCACAAACGACGAGCAUUUGCAUAUUUGGGGGAAAUAGAAACCCUAGAAAACAGUGCGAGUGGACGAUGAGUGAAAGAAGGAAACGGAGCUGAAAUGCAUUUAGCCAUUGAUGAAUAAACCAAGUCCAUGAGUAGAAGAAAGGAAGAGAAAUUAGGGUUAGGAAAAUUGAAAAUCGAAAUUGAUGAAGAAUUUUAGGGUUUUAUUGUUUAUGAAAUGGUGAAGAUGAGAGCUAUCACUGUCG